rnacentral:rRNA from 1 species
UAUGGAGAGUUUGAUCCUGGCUCAGAGCGAACGUUAGCGGCGGGCCUAACACAUGCAAGUCGAGCGAGAAAGGGGCUUCGGCCCUGAGUAAAGCGGCGGACGGGUGAGUAACACGUAGGUAAU